rnacentral:rRNA from 1 species
UACGGAGGGGGCUAGCGUUGUUCGGAAUUACUGGGCGUAAAGCGCACGUAGGCGGCUAUUCAAGUCAGAGGUGAAAGCCCAGGGCUCAACCUUGGAACUGCCUUUGAAACUAGAUAGCUAGAAUUCUGGAGAGGUCAGUGGAAUUCCGAGUGUAGAGGUGAAAUUCGUAGAUAUUCGGAAGAACACCAGUGGCGAAGGCGACUGACUGGACAGAUAUUGACGCUGAGGUGCGAAAGCGUGGGGAGCAAACAGG